UUAUUUUACAGUAAGAUAAAGCAUAUUUGAUUCUUUCCCUUUCCAUCAAUAAAAAUUUCAACAGCAGACAAUUGUUUCAGAAAAAUAGGCUUCAUUAUUUUGCAGUAAGAUAAAACAUAUUUGAUUCCUUCCCUUUCAAUCAAUAUACAUCUAUUUGAAACCCUAAAAUCCCCUAUAUAAAAGGAUAAAAAACAAACAGCACCAAGGAGGAGAAUGGCAUAAAAAUCAUAGAGAUAGAAGAAAACCAGAAUCGAAAAAUCAAAUAUCAGUAGUCAAACAUCUUCAAAAUAUUCGUCAUACCAAAAUCCCACAAACAACAAAGCCUCACUCAAACAAAAAACUUCUCGUUAUCACAAAAGAAAAAAUUCAGAGUACCUGAAGUCGGCUUUAGUUUUCUCAAAUCGCGUUUCGAUCCAAGGUAGGUACUUAUCUUUACUUACUGUAUGAUAUUUUCGGUUGUCGUUUCUUGUUGUUUGCUUGAUUGUUGUCUCUUCACAACCAGAUUUGAGCGAGAACGACGAGAGAGAGAGAUAGUUUAAGCGAGAAUGGCGAGAGAGAGAGAGAGAGUUUGAGCGAGAACGGCGAGAGAGGGGGUUUAUGGAUGAGUGCAACGAGAAAGAGUAGUUUAAAUGGGAACAAAUGUUGGUGAGAAAAAAUGGAAAGCUUUUUUUUUUCCUGCUGCUACGUUUAACCAAGUCAUAGUUGAAGAAAAUGUUAUCUCUGCAGGAAGAAGAUGUAGCGGCCGAAUUAGGGUUCGCUAGUAUCCUCCCUUCAUGUUAAGGCAUUGGGUCGGGUUGAUCUAACCCGAGAUUCAUAUCCGCCCGCCUCUGGGCCCAAUCCAUACUAUUUUUUUAAGGUAGAUUUUGUAGAAGCAUGCUUCAAUCCAAAGAAUUUUGAUGAAGACAACAUGUAUCAAUGCAAAAAGAUAAGAGCUUCAAGAGAAUUCAAAGCAUCAAGUUAAUAAAGCCACAUAUGCAUAACAACAUUUGGUUCAAGCUUCAUUAUCAAGUCAACACUUUUGCAAAUUUGUUGAAUCAUUUCUAAGGUAUAUCUAAUUCACUCUUAAAUUAGUAUACAAGUGUUCAACAAUCAUGUUUUGCAUUUCCAUAUUUAACCUAACCAUUUUUUAACAUGUUGAAAUGAAAAACACACUUUACUUAAAAUAUUUUUCUGUGUUUCAACAGUGUUAACUGGUUAACCAGAUGCGUUAACCGGUUAACGGCCCUGUAUUUGAAAUUCUGAAGUUAACGUUAGAUGCGUUAACCGGUUAACCCAUUUGGUUAACCGGUUAACACUGUUCGUUUCAGCAUUUCUUGGCCUCUUUUUAUGAAAAAUAUUUUCAAAUACUUAUACCUUUUCACUAUUUUUUAUGCAGAAAAUUAUACCUCUUUGAAAAGGUGUUUUGAUGAAUAUAAAUUCUGGAUUUUUUAAAUGAAAAAAUACCUCCAAGAACUUUCAUAAAAACUCAAGAUAAUCACUCUUUCAUAUUUGUCAAUUUCUCAUAAAAGUGUUCAUAACCAAUUUUUGAGAAGAAACUUUUUAACAUUCUUGUUUCAUCUCAUUCCAUUUCUUGUUGAACACGUAUAUAUUAUCCUUUGAGUGAAUUAUUUAUCCAAGGAGAAGAUCAAUCAAGAGAACAUUGAUAGUACUACACUUUAUUCAAAUAAUCAAAGAAGAUUUAUUUUUGUUUGACUUGUGAUCCAGGAUUGUUGGACACAAGGGUUGGUGUUGCAAGAGGAUUGUUCUUGCAUACUUGAUUGUUGUAUAGUUGUUAGAACGUAGGCUUCACCGGUUUAUGGUGUGAUAGGCUGUACAAUCUAAAACUAUAAUAAAAUCUCUUACGAGGUGUAAGGGGACUGGAUGUACCUUCGGUUUGUGAAGGGAACCAGGAUAA